rnacentral:rRNA from 1 species
UGGUGCCAGCAGCCGCGGUAAUUCCAGCUCCAAUAGCGUAUAUUAAAAUUGUUGCAGUUAAAGAGCUCGUAGUUGAAUUUUUGCUGGUUAUUACCAAUUACCUCUUGGUUGAUUGUAAUUACCCGGCAUUUGUCGAUAUUAGCAUUAGUUAAUUAUCGAUAGGUUACUUUGAGAAAAUUAGAGUGCUUAAAGCAGGCUUAGCCUUGAAUAAUUUAGCAUGGAAUAACAUAGUAGGACUUUGGUUCUAUUUUGUUGGUUUUAGGAACCAAAGUAAUGGUUAAUAGGAACAGUUGGGGGCAUUCGUAUUUAACUGUCAGAGGUGAAAUUCUUAGAUUUGUUAAAGACGAACUACUGCGAAAGCAUUUGCCAAGGAUGUUUCCAUUAAUCAAGAACGAAAGUUAG